rnacentral:piRNA from 1 species
UCUGUUAUAAAAAUGUGCUUAUCCCAAAGU